rnacentral:rRNA from 1 species
GACGAACGCUGGCGGCGUGCUUAACACAUGCAAGUCGAACGGAAAGGCCCUGCUUGCAGGGUACUCGAGUGGCGAACGGGUGAGUAACACGUGGGUGAUCUGCCCUGCACUUCGGGAUAAGCCUGGGAAACUGGGUCUAAUACCGGAUAGGAGCCAUUUUUAGUGUGAUGGUUGGAAAGUUUUUUGGGUGUAGGAUGAGCUCGCGGCCUAUCAGCUUGUUGGUGGGGUAAUGGCCUACCAAGGCGGCGACGGGUAGCCGGCCUGGGGGGGUGGGCGGCCAACCUGGGACCUAGGAGAGGCCCCAGUGGCUAAUGGGGGACAGUGGGGGGAAGAUUGCACAAGGGGCGCAAGCCUGAUGCAGCGACGCCGCGUGGGGGAUGACGGCCUUCGGGUUGUAAACUCCUUUCGCUAGGGACGAAGCUUUUUGUGACGGUACCUAGAUAAGAAGCACCGGCUAACUACGUG